GCUUUUGCAUUUUUAUCUCAGCAAGGAACCUGUCCAACUUUACUUUCUCCACCCUUCUUAUGUCCGAGGACUUGGUUUCCUCAGCCAGUUUCCUGUCUGCUCAGGGGGAGAUUUUCCUGAGAAGAGCCCACUGCCUUUCUACUGCUCGGCCAUGUUCCUGCUGCUUAUCUCAACACUGGGGAUAUUUGCCCCGCGCGACACCGGAGCCCAGUCAGUGACGCAGCCUGAUGUCCAUGUCACUGUCUCUGAAGGAGCCCCUCUGGAGCUGAGGUGCAACUAUUCCUAUAGUGGAACUCCUUAUCUCUUCUGGUACAUGCAGCACCCCAACCAAGGACUCCAGGUUCUACUGAAGUACUUUUCAGGGGACACCCUGGUUAAAGGCAUCAAAGGUUUUGAGGCUGAAUUUAAGAACCAUGAAACCACCUUCCACCUGAGGAAAUCCCGAGCCCUUGGCAGCGAUGAGGCCAAGUACUUCUGUGCUGUGCGUGACACAGUGUCUGGGACUGCAGGGGGAGCUGAACACAAACCACCAUGGUAGGGGAGUUUUUGGAGACUGACGGUCUCUUCCUGUGGUAUUAUCAGAGAUCUCUUGCUGUAUGAUGCCAAAUGAGGCAAAUAGAACUGAGCAGACUCAGAUAUUUCUAUAUAAUUCUACAACUCCAUGUCUGAUAAACUUAAUUUAGCAGGUUUUUGGUCUUUGUAGAAACUACAUGAUAAUAAAUAGUAUUACAGAAUGAUGGAGAAGAUAGUGUUCUGAUCAUAUAAUACCAGGAUGCUUAAAGACUGGCCUUGAGGUUGACUGCCUACGAGGUUAACUAUAUGAGUUUUCAUUUAUCAUUUCUUCUGUCAGCCAACCCAGAAAACAAAACAUGAACUCCUCAUGUUCUUUCCCUGAAAAGUUUGCCUGCUUGUUUCUUUCAUCAUUCACAGAUCAUCUUCUUGGAAUUUUUUUUCCCCCUAGAUCUUACUGUGUUGGUCAGAAUGUGUCAGAAUAUUAUCUUUGAGUGUCAAUUCCUUUAUUUAAGAGGGACUCUGAAAAAUUUUAAUGUAUUUAUUUACUUACUUACUUACUUAAUUUUAGGGGGUGGGGCAUGAACAGGAGAGGGGCAGAGAGAUGGAGAGACAGAAUGCUAAGCAGGCUCCAUAUUAUCAGUGCAGAGCACAUUGCGGGGCUGGAACUCACAAAUGUGAGAUCAUGACCUGAGUUGAAAUCAAGAGUUGGACAUUCAACCAACUGAGCCACCCAGGUACCCCUUCUUUUAGUAAUUUAAAUUCUACAAAUCUUCACCAGAAAUUUGUGGAUAUAAUCUCUUUUGCUGCUUCCAGCUAUGGACAUUUUUUUUUCUUCUUGCUUUUUCUCCUGUUCUUGUUUGAUUUCAUAGUUGGAAUAUUAGAGUUUGAAUCUUAUAUGUUAACAACAUUAUAAUUAAUGAUGUAGUAAUUUUAACAAUGCCAAACUCUGCUAGAAAUAUUGAUAAGAAUUGCAGUGAAUACUCGGUGUCACUGGACCCAGUAUAAACUUAUAACCCAGUAUAAAAUUGUUUUGUGUUAGGAUGGAAAGAACUGUGUAAGAAGUUUUAUGGCCCUUGUGUUCUUGAAGUCUUAGAGAUAACAAAUACUCUGCAGAAAGGGGAGAAAGAUAAAGAGGAAGCUUUCUAGCUGCUUCUUGGUUUAUUCUAUAAUGUGUGAAAAGUGCCCAGCAGCACUAUAGAGAGACUAAAUAGAUCAUCACUAACGAUACAUCAGAAGAUCAACGGUAAUUUUUAGGAUGUGGUGAUAUGGUUAUGUGUAAUAAAUGUGUUUGAGUGAUUGCUGGAAGGGUACAAGGAAAGUAAACGCUGGUGUUGGAGACAUAAAAUUUGGAAUAAGGAAUUUGUAUUCCUUUAAUGUCCUUCUCCUUCCUUCCUUCCCUUUUUAUUUUUGGACCAUAAUCUCUCUACCUCUAUUUUCAGGUGACACUAUCGUCAGCUCAAGUACAUUGCCCAAAGGGACUGUGGUGGGAGCUUUAUUCAGAUUAGUAGGAGAAGGAGAUUACUAAUGUUUUUUAUUCCGAACUCAAAGUGAGUUUGAAGAAAAAUAGGAUUUAUAUCAAGGACCCUGAGCAGUUGGGAGAUCAUACCCCCACCUUCCCAACCCUAACUCUACCUAAAAAUCAAAGUACCCUGUCCU